CAGGUUCGAAUCCUGCCGUUCACGUUUUUCAUUUUUUUUU
rnacentral:sRNA from 1 species